rnacentral:rRNA from 1 species
GUGUCAGCCGCCGCGGUAAUACGGAGGGUCCAAGCGUUAUCCGGAAUUAUUGGGUUUAAAGGGUCCGCAGGCGGACUAGUAAGUCAGUGGUGAAAUCUCUCAGCUUAACUGGGAAACUGCCAUUGAUACUGUUAGUCUUGAAUUCGGUCGAAGUGGGCGGAAUGUGUCAUGUAGCGGUGAAAUGCAUAGAUAUGACACAGAACACCGAUAGCGAAGGCAGCUCACUAGGCCUGAAUUGACGCUCAGGGACGAAAGCGUGGGGAGCGAACAGGAUUAGAUACCCUGGUAGUCCACGCCGUAAACGAUGAUUACUCGAUAUCAGCGAUAUACAGUUGGUGUCUAAGCGAAAGUGAUAAGUAAUCCACCUGGGGAGUACGAUCGCAAGGUUGAA